UACCCUAAACAGAACUGCGGGGUCAAAUCGAAUCAAAUCAAAUAGUUCUUUAUUUAUCAUUGCAUUUUUACAAUAUAAAUAGUGUCAUAAAAUAAUAAAAUAGUUAACAAUAAUUCACAAUAAUCAGUUGAGAAAGCUUUGUGUGGAAUGAGGACUAAUAGAAAUUGAAUAUCUUUUCACUUCAUUUUUGAAAAUCGCACCAUCCUUCUCUUUGAUAUUAAUUGGUAGCUGGUUGAAGAACUUAGCUCCCAUGUAGGAAGGACGUUUCUCAAAGAAUUGUCUUCUAUGUUGUUGAAGUGCAUACGUUCUUCUUGAGCGUGUAUUAUAUUGAUGAUUGACAUAUCCUUCAUUUUUAAAUUUUAGAGUCAGAAUGCAUUCUGAUGCUUUCAGGGGGUGAAAUUUCCAUUGCUGAAACAAGUGUCAACUCAGCGGUUCCACACCUUCAGCAGAGGGGAUGAUAAAGAUGCGCACUUUCGAUCAAGUUACUGAGGACAGUAGAUAGAAUUGAUAUGGUGUUUUGUUACAAUGCUAUGGAGGGUAAUGGUGGAUGAGUGAGGGAUGACACUAGCAGGACAAUAGGAAUCGCGUUUGAGAGAACUGAAAUGCAUUUCAAAUCAUGUUACUGAGGACAGUGGAUAAAAUUGAUAUGGUGUUUUGUUACCAUGCUAUGGAGGGUAAUGGUGGAUGAGUGAGGGAUGACACUAACAGGACAAUAAGAAUCGCGUUCGAGAGAACUGAAAUGCAUUCUAAGCUAGUAUUUCAUCUUAGCCAAGUAUUCAAGUUUAUGAAACUACUGUCUGUAAGACAGGCAUUACGAUGUAAGGAAAUACAGUUGUAGCAAAUAAUAUUAUAUCUUUGAUAAAUAAAAUUAAUUUGAAUUUAUUCGAA